CAGUAGCCGCGGUAAUACGAAGGGUGCAAGCGUUAAUCGGAAUUACUGGGCGUAAAGCGUGCGUAGGCGGUUUGUUAAGUCUGCUGUGAAAUCCCCGGGCUCAACCUGGGAAUGGCAGUGGAUACUGGCAAGCUAGAGUGUGUCAGAGGAUGGUGGAAUUCCCGGUGUAGCGGUGAAAUGCGUAGAGAUCGGGAGGAACAUCAGUGGCGAAGGCGGCCAUCUGGGACAACACUGACGCUGAGGCACGAAAGCGUGGGGAGCAAAUAGGAUUAGAUACCCGCGUAGUCCCUGUCUCUUAUAA
rnacentral:rRNA from 1 species